rnacentral:rRNA from 1 species
UACGUAGGGUGCGAGCGUUGUCCGGAAUUACUGGGCGUAAAGAGCUCGUAGGUGGUUUGUCGCGUUGUUCGUGAAAACUCACAGCUCAACUGUGGGCGUGCGGGCGAUACGGGCAGACUGGAGUACUGCAGGGGAGACUGGAAUUCCUGGUGUAGCGGUGGAAUGCGCAGAUAUCAGGAGGAACACCGGUGUCGAAGGCGGGUCUCUGGGCAGUAACUGACGCUGAGGAGCGAAAGCGUGGGGAGCGAACAGG